UGUUAAAAAUUUCAACCAUUUGCACUGUUAAAAACUAGAGUGACUGACAAAAUAACCAAACAACUACACGAAACAUAUCACCUAUACUUCAUAGUGACAUACACGGAAUAGUUUUAACAGAAAGAAUAGAUGAAAAUUUUAAUA
rfam:Gossypium raimondii Chr12_contig_18, whole genome shotgun sequence.